ACUAAUUAAAUUCCCUAAUGACUGCUCUUUGUAUUAAGUCAUAUGCUUGUAAAAGAAGCACUGAAUGUCAUGUCUUUUUUUUCCACCUGCUUUGUCAUUAUUCUUUAUAUACUUUUCUUAAUCUUUAUUACAUUCCAUUACUAUCUCUACUCUGUGUCAAUUAUUACUAUCAUGGCUUGUGCUCUCACUUCAUAUUAGGCUCCAUAAUUCCAGCAGGAAACUAUGGACACUUGACAUUCAUACACUGCAAGAAACUAGCUUUUAACUAAACAAACUUUUUGUUCAUAUUAAGUAUGAACCCAAAACAUGUUAUACUUUCUUAUUCCGAAAAUGUACAUCAAUGCAGUAUUUUCUUUAAAUGUUUAAUAGAUGUUUCUAAUAGGAUGUACCCAGCGGUGAAAUCCAGCCGGAUCGUUCCAGCUCAUGCGAACCUGUAGGGCUCCGCCCACCCACUCGGAUAUCAUUACAUUCUGUUUUUUACCCUCUGUGCAUGCGCAGAAGAGGCACAUGCUCACAGUUCUGAAUCGGUAGCGAAGGAGAGGGCUUCAGCAGGAAGAUGGCCAGAAUCUCAGUAUAUUUUCUCAUAAAGGUAUUCUUUUAUGCUUUUAUGAAGAUGUGUUUUAAUGAUGGUGUCAUACUCUGGGAUCUACUGAAACAGAAGUAUGGAGUAUGAAUGCAGAUUUGGUCUGUGACAUCUGAAGUCCAGUGAAUGGAGGUCAAGAGAAUCGAAAUGUUAUUAUAUUACUAAAUUAGUUGGCUGACAACAAAGUAUGCUAUUUUUGAGUCUGAGCUACCCUUCAUGUAGGAAUAGAGCAGAGAGUAGCUUCAAGAAGGGUAACAUUGGGGGAAAAUCUGCCACUGUCCUACGUGGACUACUAGGUACCAAUUUUUCAAUAGUCCUCAUUCUCUAUCAGCCAUUAUUGAGGAACAAGGAGCAUUAUCAUUAAUUAUUCAGUACUUCCCCUAUUGAGCUAGCUAUGCAUUAUAGUUCAUUCUCCCAGAAGUAGAGCACCAUUAAGAGGAAAUAAGAGCAUAUAAUGUUUGUAGAAACCUGAGUCAUUUUGAAUAAUAAGAUAUACAGAGUUUCUGCCACAGCAAAUGUUACAAUAUUGAACUUAAAAAUAAACUACAAGAAUUAGGGAUAACAAUAUUUAGGCUCAUACACAAUAAAUGCUGACUCAGAAAAAAUUAACAUAAAUCUCAAUUUAUCCCAUCCAUGGUUAGAAGUAAUUACAGUUUAGGGCACUUCCACACCACCAGCAUUUUCCAUUCCCACAUAAAUGCUUUCUGGAACUGAUUUGCAAAUGUCUUCACUUAUGAUGAUAUUAAAACAAAGAGCGAAGCAUCUUCACUCUUUUUGCCUUCAGCUGAUCAACAGAAGUAUGUGAAGAACAUCUAGGAUCCCACCAACAUCUGCAAUCAUGCACAGACACAGACACAAAUAUACAUACCCUGCCUUACAAGGACAAAUAAAAGAAAAAUAUCCAAUGCUCCAAUUCUAUGUCCCAUAAAAAAGAAAUGCUGUUUAGAUAUGUACUUGUGGGUUUUCAGGACUGUCCACAAGAUCACUCGAAUAAAAAAGAAGCAGGAUUUCACUCACAUGGUUGCAACUGCCAUUUUGACUUAUUUUGACAAC